CCUACGGGUGGCAGCAGUGAGGAAUAUUGGUCAAUGGGCUGGAGCCUGAACCAGCCAAGUCGCGUGAGGGAUGACGGCCCUAUGGGUUGUAAACCUCUUUUGCCGGGGAGCAAAGUGCCGCACGUGUGCGGUUUGGAGAGUACCCGGAGAAAAAGCAUCGGCUAACUCCGUGCCAGCAGCCGCGGUAAUACGGAGGAUGCGAGCGUUAUCCGGAUUUAUUGGGUUUAAAGGGAGCGUAGGCCGCAUGUCAAGCGUGCUGUGAAAUGUCCGGGCUCAACCCGGGCCUUGCAGCGCGAACUGGCGUGCUUGAGUCCGCGGAAAGCAGGCGGAAUUCGUCGUGUAGCGGUGAAAUGCUUAGAUAUGACGAAGAACCCCGAUUGCGAAGGCAGCUUGCUGCAGCGGAACUGACGCUGAUGCUCGAAAGCGCGGGUAUCGAACAGGAUUAGAUACCCUUGUAGUC
rnacentral:rRNA from 1 species